rnacentral:tRNA from 1 species
GACUACGUGUAACACAGAAGGCGGGGAUAGCUCAGUUGGGAGAGCGUCAGACUGAAGAUCUGAAGGUCACGUGUUCGAUCCACGUUCACCGCAU